rnacentral:rRNA from 1 species
UACAGAGGUCUCAAGCGUUGUUCGGAUUCAUUGGGCGUAAAGGGUGUGUAGGUGGCGCCGUAAGUCGGGUGUGAAAUUUCGGAGCUUAACUCCGAAACUGCAUUCGAUACUGCGGUGCUUGAGGACUGGAGAGGAGACUGGAAUUUACGGUGUAGCAGUGAAAUGCGUAGAUAUCGUAAGGAAGACCAGUGGCGAAGGCGGGUCUCUGGACAGUUCCUGACACUGAGACACGAAGGCCAGGGGAGCAAACGGGG